AAAAUGUAAAAACCGAAAUAAGCAACAAAAACGUAAACAGCAGUCAUUGUGAGAAAGAUGUAAAAACACUUAUGUUACAUUAUUUAUCCAAGAUGGUACUAAAAAAUGCACAUAAUUAUACUGCAAUAGAGUUAGUAGAUAUAAUUAGAUAUUUUGGAGCAUUCACUUAUAUAAAUAAAGAACUUUUUAAUUUUGUUUUCAGUUUACCAUUUUUUAAAAAUUUAAAUGAAAACACAUUAAAUUAUUAUAAAAAAAAUAUAUAUUUUAAUCAUUCAUAUUAUGCUUAUACUAAACAUCAUAGUGGUAUUAUUACUCCUGUUGAAAUUACUUUGUGUAAAUUAUACCAAGCCUAUCUUUCCUAUAACAUGUACAAUAAUGUAUAUAGUCAUAAUGUUAAUAACUCAAACAAUACUAUUUCCAAUACAAAUAAUAUAUUAAAACAAAUUGAAAAAAAAAAAUAAUAAUAUAAAAACAUUCAAAUUUAAUGAAAAUAUAUUACAACUACUUAAAAAAAACUUAUUUAUAUAAUUUGAGUUUAUCUACUUAUAGUUCUUCUACACUACAUUAUGAAAUUUCAGAUAUAUUACAAAAAAAUUUCAACAUACCUUGUCAUAUUGAAUAUAAAACAAAAAAUGGUAUAUCCAUAGAUAUAGCUAUAUUAUAUGAAGAUAUAAAAAAAAUAAAUAACAAUAUACCUUAUUUUUCAAAUAUAGCGAUCGAAGUUAAUGGUCCUUUUCAUUAUAAAACUAAGUCACUGAGUGAAGGAAGUCUUCCUUAUCUUAAUACCAAAACAUUGUUAAAAAAAAGAUUGUUGGAACAUGACAAUUGGAUGGUUAUUUCAUUUCCGUUUUGGGAAUUUAAGCCAUGGUAUGUAUAAACACAACAAAAUGCGCACAUACAUAUGUUUAUAUAUAUAUAUAUAUACAUGUUUGCAAUUACUUACAAGUACAACUCUAACUUUUUUUCUUUUUAUUUACAGGUAUAGUAAAACAAGAAAGGAAAAUUAUAUUUUGAAAAUGUUACCUACUCAUCUUAAAAAUUGUUUUAAUGAAAUAAAAACUGCUUAAUAAGUAAAUUAUUUGAAGUU
rnacentral:lncRNA from 1 species